UACGUAGGGCGCGAGCGUUGUCCGGAAUUAUUGGGCGUAAAGAGCUCGUAGGCGGCCUGUUGCGUCCGCUGUGAAAUCCCGGGGGCUCAACCCCGGGCUUGCAUGGAUACGGGCUGGCUAGAGGCAGGCAGGGGAGAACGGAAUUCCCGGUGUAGCGGUGAAAUGCGCAGAUAUCGGGAGGAACACCGGUGGCGAAGGCGGUUCUCUGGGCCUGUACUGACGCUGAGGAGCGAAAGCGUGGGGAGCGAACAGG
rnacentral:rRNA from 1 species